CAGGAAUUCUCGGUACCUUAAGCCCUCAGGGCUGGGGUCCUCCUACCUGCCUGCCUCUGCCCUUCCUUCCUGCAAGGGGUGGGGCGGGAUGGUGUUGACGGUGAAAUAAAGAUCAAAGGGCAGUUCCGUGCGCGGCUGGGGAAGCGUCAGCCACAGCCCGGGACGCGUAAACAUCCUGAGAGGAGGGUCCUGGCGGUUCCUGAGCACUUGCUGCGUGUCAGACACAGGGGUUGCCCUCUUGCAAGUUGACCCGGAUUCUGCAGAGGAGGAAGCCGAAGAAGCUCUGGGAGGCGAGGGCACCUUGGCCUGGUAAUGGCGUUCAAACUUGAGUGGCAUUCUGCCCAUGUCCAAGUCCCUUUCCUCCACCUUGCUGCCUCUAGGCUAGGGGGAAUCCUGGAAGACUCCUCGGAGGAGGUGAUGUGCAAACUGAUCCUUGAGGAAGGAUGGAAAGAAACCCACCCCACAGAAUAGAGGGGGAAAGGCAUGGAAGGGCAUUUGUGACCGAGAAACGGCGACCCGGCACACCCAAGCAUGAAAUGACAAUAACCGGCGCAUACUGAGUGCCUACUAUGUGCCAUUCACUCACUGAAUCACCACCACAGCCCUGUGAGAGAGAGUGGAAGAGAGAGGGAAAGACAGAGAGAAACAUGGAUGUGAGAGGAGCACAUUGAUUGGUUGCCUCCUGCACGCACCCCGACCAGGGCCCGGGCUGGGGAGGAGCCCGCAACCAAGGUGGGAAGACUGACUGAAGGGGCAGUCCACAGGCCACACAGAGAGCUGAGACAAUGAGAUUGUCAUUGCACAUCAGACCAGGAGGCUUAUCCAGGCCACGGGGGAUGGUAUCUAACGUUCCUUCAUUAUGUGCCAGAAGGAGCCAUUCACCAACACUCAGUCUUUGCUGAUUUCCUUUCAUCAUGGAGUCACUCAUUCAACAAAUAUUUCUCGAGCCCCCAUUGUGUGGGGAGAGCUGACCUCACACAGCCGCCCAUGGCAAAGACAGAUGCAUUCUGAGUCUCCCAGGCUCUUCCCUGAACCCCAAACCUUUUGACAACAGCCCUCUUCUGAACUCCCCCUGCACCAGGUAAAAUCCCUCGUGUACAGAGGCCUCAUGCCCAGUGAUGAGGAGCUCUGGCUCUGGCAUCCACAGAUGGGCUCUUAGUAGAUGCUUAAUAAACAGUGACUGUGGCCUGGCUGGCGUGGCUCAGUGGCUGAGCAUCGACCUAUGAACCGGGAGGUCACGGUUCGAUUCCCAGUCAGGGCAUAUGCCCCAGGCUGGGGGCUGGAUCCCCAGUGUGGGGUGUGUAGGGGACAGCUGAUCAAUGAUUCUCUCUCAUCAUUGAUGUUUCUAUCUCUCACUCCCUCUUCCUUCCUCCCUGAAAUCAAUAAAAAAAUAUAUUAA